CACGUAGGAACCUAGCGUUAUCCGAAUUUACUGGGCGUAAAGCGCGUGCAGGCGGUUUGGUAAGUUGGAUGUGAAAGCUCCUGGCUCAACUGGGAGAGGCCGUUCAAAACUACCAGACUCGAGGACGGUAGAGGGAGGUGGAAUUCCCGGUGUAGUAGUGAAAUGCGUAGAUAUCGGGAGGAACACCAGUGGCGAAGGCGGCCUCCUGGGCCGUUCCUGACGCUAAGACGCGAAAGCUAGGGGAGCGAACGGGAUUAGAAACCCCGGUAGUCCUAGCUGUAAACGAUGUGAACUGGGUGUCGGUGGGGUAAAAGCCAUCGGUGCCGAAGCUAACGCGAUAAGUUCACCGCCUGAGGAAUACGGCCGCAAGGUUAAA
rnacentral:rRNA from 1 species